ACUCAAAGGAAUUGACGGGGGCUCACACAAGCGGUGGAGCAUGUGGCUUAAUUCGAAGCAACGCGAAGAACCUUAUCCUAGGCUUGACAUGCAUGGAUUAACUUCCUGAAAGGGAAGCCACACCCUCUGGGUGGAACAUGCACAGGUGCUGCAUGGCUGUCGUCAGCUCGUGCUGUGAAGUGUCGGGUUAAGUCCCUCAACGAGCGCAACCCCUGUCGUUAGUUGCUAACGGGUAAUGCCGAGGACUCUAGCGAGACUGCCGGUGUCAAACCGGAGGAAGGUGGGGAUGACGUCAAGUCCUCAUGGCCUUUAUGCCUAGGGCUGCACACGUGCUACAAUGGUGCGGACAGAACGAUGCAAGGCCGCAAGGCGGAGCAAAUCGCUCAAAGCGCACCCCAGUUCGGAUUGCGGGCUGAAACCCGCCCGCAUGAAGUCGGAAUCGCUAGUAAUCGCGGAUCAGCCACGCCGCGGUGAAUACGUUCCUGAGCCUUGUACACACCGCCCGU
rnacentral:rRNA from 1 species